rnacentral:lncRNA from 1 species
AUGGGUACCUGUUGCUGCCUGUCCUGGAAGAGGAUGGGUGCCUGUCCUGGAAGAGAAUGGGUACCUGCUCCUGUCUGUCCCAGGAGAGGAUGGGUACCUGCUCCUGCCUGUCCUGGAAGAGGAUGGGUACCUGCUCCUGCCUGUCCCGGAAGAGGAUGGGUACCUGUUGCUGCCUGUCCUGGAAGAGGAUGGGUGCCUGUCCUGGAAGAGAAUGGGUACCUGCUCCUGUCUGUCCCAGGAGAGGAUGGGUACCUGCUCCUGCCUGCCAUGGAAGAGGAUGGGUACCUGCUCCUGUCUGUCCCAGGAGAGGAUGGGUACCUGCUCCUGCCUGCCAUGGAAGAGGAUGGGUACCUGCUCCUGUCUGUCCCAGGAGAGGAUGGGUACCUGCUCCUGCCUGCCAUGGAAGAGGAUGGGUACCUGCUCCUGUCUGUCCCAGGAGAGGAUGGGUACCUGCUCCUGCCUGCCAUGGAAGAGGAUGGGUACCUGCUCCUGUCUGUCCCAGGAGAGGAUGGGUACCUGCUCCUGCCUGUCCUGGAACAGGAUGGGUACCUGUUCCUGCCUGUCCCAGGAGAGGAUGGGUACCUGCUCCUACCUGCUGUGGAAGAGGAUGGGUACAUGCUCCUGCCUGUCCCAGGAGGGCACAGGGAGUCUUGGGGCUGGCGGCAGCAGGAGCACAACUCAGGAAGGCAGGAAAAUGCAGGGGAAACGUCAGAAGGAGCGAUGUACGGGCAGCAGGGUAGGAGGGAAAGCCCUGUCUGGGCAGCCCAGGCUGGCCCUGCAGGGCUGUCUCUGAAAAGCCCAAGGCUGGAUGGCUCCAGGAUGACCCUGGAGCCUGGCUCAGUGCAGGGAGUCACAGGGGAGGCACAGCUCCCUACGAGACAGCCUGGGCUGGCAGGUUCCCGGCGGGGCGAGCUGCAAAGGGAUGCACAGGGAUGGCAGGGGACAGGCAGGGGACAGGCAGGGGAUGGCUCAUCAGCGUCACUCCAUCAAGCCAGGCAAGGCUGGGUGGCAGAGCUUGGUCCUGUCCUGGUGCCGGAGCAGAGAAGCCACCCCCAGCUCCCAGGAUGGGGUUGCUGCACCCUCCCCAGCUGCAGGUCCCAGAUAAAUGGAGACCAGGCCUGGGGCUCCCCUGGCCGCUGGCCCUGA